rnacentral:rRNA from 1 species
GGCAUGCCUAACACAUGCAAGUCGAACGGUAACAGGUCUUCGGAUGCUGACGAGUGGCGCACGGGUGAGUAACGCGUGGAUAUCUGCCUAUGAGUGGGGGACAACUUUCGGAAACGAAAGCUAAUACCGCAUAAUCUCUACGGAGCAAAGCAGGGGACCUUUCGGGGCYUUGUGCUUAUAGAUGAGUCCGCGUCAGAUUAGCUAGUUGGUGGGGUAAGAGCCUACCAAGGCGAUGAUCUGUAGCUGGUUUGAGAGGAUGAUCAGUCACACUGGAACUGAGACACGGUCCAGACUCCUACGGGAGGCAGCAGUGGGGAAUUUUGCACAAUGGGGGAAACCCUGAUGCAGCGAUGCCGCGUGUGGGAAGAAGGCCUUUGGGUUGUAAACCACUUUCAAUUGGGAAGAAGGGAUGAGGAUUAAUAAUCCUCUGACUUGACGGUACCUUUAGAAGAAGCACCGGCUAAUUUCGUGCCAGCAGCCGCGGUAAUACGAAAGGUGCAAGCGUUGUUCGGAUUUACUGGGCGUAAAGAGAUCGUAGGUGGUUUGUUAAGUUGGAUGUGAAAUCCCGGGGCUCAACCUCGGAACUGCAUCCAAAACUGGCAGACUUGAGUUCGGGAGGGGUAAGCGGAAUUCCGUGUGUAGCAGUGAAAUGCGUAGAUAUACGGAGGAACACCUGAGGCGAAGGCGGCUUACUGGACCGAUACUGACACUGAGGAUCGAAAGCGUGGGUAGCAAACAGGAUUAGAUACCCUGGUAGUCCACGCCCUAAACGAUGUCAACUAGCCGUUGCGGGUAUCGACCCCUGCAGUGGCGCAGCUAACGCGAUAAGUUGACCGCCUGGGGAGUACGGUCGCAAGA